rnacentral:lncRNA from 1 species
AACUUUGAAGCUGCUGAACUGUUAAAUGUGUGUUGGCUAGAAGUGCGUGGAAAACUUGCGACCACAGACCUCUCACCAGGAACUCUGUAUGAAGUUGUAUUUGUGGUCAAGAUGAAAACUGAAGCUGAUGGAUGGGAUGCUCCAGUGAAUUUCAAAUUCACUUCCCCAGAUGGUGCAUUAACAAGGAAUACGACAUUUAAAUUGAGGGAGAUUUUGAAGGAUAGUAAAGAUCAAUGGAAAGAUAUUCCGUUUGGUGAGUUUAAAGCACCCGAAAAUCCUAGGAAUAUCGAGUUUUCGCUGUAUGAAUAUAGUAGGAUAUGGAAGAGCGGACUUGUUAUCAAGGGUGUUGCCGUUCGACCAAAGAGUUAAGUUGCAGAAUAUUAUUGUAAUAACUAGUUGGCAUAUGAGCCGACAGAUGAUGAUUUGCAUAACUAAGAAAUGAUAAUUAAGAACAGAAUAAUGAAGCACUUAUCCAAUCUCCCAAUCAAGUUGUUAUCAAGGAGAUUUUGAAUGAUAAUUUAGUUGUAUCAUUAUUAUGUACUAUAUAGUUGAUUAAAUCACUCAAUCUCAAUCUCCAAAUGAUUUUGUUUAUGAACAACGUUUGAGCAAUGCCAAACCCAUAUUAUAACUACUAGCACCAACUAAUUUUAUAUUUAUAUGAUAAGCAUAAUAACUACAUGCAAAAUUAUUUUGGAGAUUUAUCGUCUCAUGACUUACUCUUUAUAAUACAUGUACUUUACACAUACACCUGAUAAAGACAACAAAAAAUGUGAACUAGGAAUUUUAUUUAAUACUAAUUUACUUAUGUGUCUUACUAUGUAAUGUAUAAAAUAUAAACACUAUGCCAAAAAAGGACUUUAGCAACAAAUAAAAUAUGUUGCCUAUUCCCCCAAAAUACCUUGGUAUUCAAGCCUGUUGCCUUUUACUAUGUAAUAGGUAACGGAUAUUAUCCAUGGCCUUUUUUUACUUACAACAUCGGAUAUUUAGUAAACUCCGAUGCGUAAAGGAUUUCCGUGUGCCAAAAAACGUUGACUUCUGACGCUUAAACCUAAAACAGCAUUGAUGGUUUCAAAAGGGAGGAGGCUAAAGAGGUAUUACAGCAUCAGUGAUAUCUCCUAUACUGAUGCGUAUUACCAAUUACAACAUCACAGAAACAAAUAGUGUUGUUACGAAUUAUGUUAUACGCCAUUGCUUUUUCUAUUUUGCAGACGUGAAAAGCAUCCAAUAGCGUUGGUGGUUAUAUAAAUGCUGAUGCUACUUCUAAUUUUAGGCAUCAUGAUCAUAGAUGUCUGGUGGUUGUUUUAAUCUUUUAACUUCAAUUAUUUCUACAAAACUGAAGUUAAGUUGUUAUAAAAAAAUACGCACCACUUAUGUAAGGAAAGUGUGGGCAUUUUGCAUGUUCCACGUCACACUUUACUUGGUUACUAUCUUAUAAUAUCAAAAAGGCAUCAUUUCCAAAUCAUGUUGUGUUGCCAUUGCUCAUAAUAUAUAUAUAUAUAUAUAUAUAAACAGUAAUUUAAAUAUAUCCAUACUUGUUGUUGAGGCCCAAAAAAUUCACGGUUCGGCCCAAAUGAAUUCCCGGCUCGGGGCAAUGCCUUAUUAAGAAAAGACCCGAUUUGGAGCAUGCAAAAGUUCGUCAUUCACGCUUGCAUGAGCCACGACCACGUGCCAUGCCAAAUAAAUAUGCAAUCCAUCACGCUAAGAAUUAAAAUGAGCCUAUAAAAGGCAAUGGCUCUACAAGCCCAUGCUAAUUAUUCUGUCAAGCAUCAUGUCUCUUUUCAAAGACGAUAAAAUUCAAGCACGCCAAUCGACAUGCCAUGCCAAGCAGGAUAUUAUUAUUUCACACCUAGCCACGCUAUAAACUUAAGUGGGCUAAAGCCACACAAAUGCCCGGGGCUUGCUGAGUGGGUUGUGGUAUGGAUGGUAACGAGGUUUCAUGAGGCCCAUUGAUGAGUCGAGAAAUGAAAGCUUUGGGCUGUUUGGGAGCCCCAAAACUCAAGCUCAUUUCUUGAGUCCAAAUAUAUGGGUAAGCAUAAAAGAGAAAAAAAAAAGGCCAAUACUCUAGAGAAAAAAAGCCCAAUACUCUAGAGAAAAUUAGCCCAAAUACCCUAGAAAAUUAACCCAUCACCUUAGGAAGGCCCAAGCAACCAAGCAAAAUAUCUGCAAUCUCCAUCACUUAGCUGGAGACAAAAGCCACAACAAAAGCCAAAGUUGCCCAUGUAUGUGAACUGCUGGGAGGCUCCGGCACGUGGGCAAAACAAACCUCAAGGCAGAUCGCUGAAAAAACUAGAGGAAAUUGACACGCGCAGGAGAAAAGGCAGCCUUCAGACUAACUAAAGUUACCUAUCUCCUUCCUUUACCAGAUCUUGCCAUGAAAUAGGGAAGGAAAGGAGGAGAGAUGGAUAGCCAAAGAUAAGAAAUCACCACUGGUAUGGCUAUGGAAAGACUUCUGAAUUCCCAAAAAUCUGGUCUCUAUGUAUUGAGAAGAGGAGAAUUUCACAAAAUGGGAUGGAUCAAAGGGAGAGAAAAGAAAUGAAAGGGGAGACUUGGCAAAAUUGGAGAGAACCCAUUAGAGUUUCUUGGUAAGGAGGUACCUCCUACCCAUUAAACUCAACCAAAGCAAUCGAGCAAGUUUAUUCUCUAACUGCUGGAAACAUCAAGCCUAAGUGCGUCACCUUCUAUCUCCUUCUUCUUUAUCCUAAGCAACACAUCCGUAGAGCAAGCUUCACCUCUCAUCCCUGAAACCUCUGCAAUUUUUCGUGUCCUAUUGCUCCAUCUCUUCCAUUUUCUCCUCUGAUAAACUGUUCCAGAGCUUGACAGAGCCACCGUCAAGCUACCGAAAACUACUUAACACACCCAUUUUUCCCUUAUCUCUCUCUCUCUCUCUCUCUCUCUCUCUCUCUCUCUCUCUCUCUCUUUCUCUCUCUUCAACAAACCCUCUUAGAAUCCCUUCCCCCUUUCCUUAGAACCCCUGUCUUUCAUAAGAACUCACAGCUCUCUCUCUCUGUUUAUGCUAAACUCAUGAUUGUUUUGCUCCCAUACCACAAACUUCUGAUGCCAAGCUAAGAAUCUAUCUGUAAGCAGUCGUUGUUUUUGUUGGUGAAGAUAACCAGGGUGCUUCCUAAGGCCUCACUACCCUUUCGAAGCAUUCUUGGGGUCUGAUUCUUGAACUUAGACCUAGGGGCAAUUUUCACACACUUGGCCCUUGCCGGAACGAAAAAGCCCAUACACUUGCCUAUAUAUAUAAGCAAAAUACUUGAAUGAUCCAUACUUGUCACAUCCAAAUCACAAUUUUUCCAACCCCACACCACAAAUUAUCCGUACUUGUCUAUAUAUACGCAAAAUGCUGGCUAGAAAGACAUGUAAAAUGAAGGAGGAAUGUUUAGUUCAAUCAAAAAGCCAUUAUAGGACAUGAGUUCCCAAUUCUUCUCGCACCUCAUCCAAUUCCAUUUGGGCAUACGUGUACUUCCGUCUAGCUCUAUACUGAGGAAGAAAAAAAAAAGGCAUGUAAAAUGUAAACACAAACAGCAGAAAUAUGAACAUAAGCUUCAAGGUACUAAAUUUGCACAAGAUAUGUUGUCACUUCAAAUUGACCAGUAUGCAUAUUUACCAAAUCAUAUCGGUGAACAAGAAAGCCUGAAAGUGCAAAUUAAAUAUGCCUUUGAAUUCCAUUUGAAGAUACUAGUUAAGGAUUUAAUAUUAAUUGCACAGAGAAAACAAAACUUUUUUUAAAAGUAUGGGUUUUAGUCAUUAAUAAACAACUUAUCAAACAAAAAACAUCUGCAACUUGAUUGUACCAGAUCUGUGGUACUUGCACAGAGUCAUUUUCACACUGGCACUUGCACAUAUCCACAAACAAGGUAAAUUUUUACUUGCUUCUAUUUGAAUUCAUUGACAAACAAGAAAUAUCUAUAAAUUAUUGUUCAAACAUAUCAAAUCUACCAAAGGAAGAACUUGUCUGAUAAUAGUAUUUCAGUACAAGUGAUGAGUAUACACUUACUUAUGGUUAUCAAUCACAACCUUUUCUGAAUAAUGGGAACAAAUUUUUAAGCAAAAAUGAGAUAUACCUCUUCUCAUUAAUGGAUAUAACACCCAAUUUCUCAAAAAUCAGUUUAAAAAUCACUCUUCUUCACUCCCUUUUCCAAAUCAUGCCCAUGCCUUUGCCUCUAACUUCACACAAACUAAUUACCCUCCUACUCUAAUACAUAUGGGUGUAGGAAUUCUGUAUACGCAUGUCUAGCGGAAUCCAGAAUAUUUAUAAAAUAAAUAUCACCAUCAAACUAUGCAAUAAACCAACAAAAUUCGAUUAACUAACUCAAUAAAGCUAAAUGAAAUCAAAGAUACUGCCAUAAUUCAAGGGAGAGUUCCAGUAUAAGAGUACAAGGUUGUACCGGAUCAGAUCAACUAGGUUUGAUUGUGAAAUCUUAAAUCCUGCACUAGCUAUAGCAUCAAUCCUCAAUGAUAAUUCUUUGGCUCCUGGAGAAAUAAUAGAAUCACCUGUUCUAAUCUGCCAUUUAGAUACCACUUCAUUUCAGCCAAAGGAAUAAUAAAAACUACUUUAGUAAGCUGAGAUUUAAUUUAAUUUAAUUUUUUUUAAAGGAACCACAAGAACCAGUAGAAGAUUUGGUGGUGAGUAGCAACUAUUAAGUAACACUAUGCCAAAAAUGAUCUUUAGCCUGAAAUAAAAGAGGUAAUUUAUAUUAAUCUCGCCCUCGUAUCCUGAAAUAUAUACUCCGGCUACUUGUAUGUAUCAGGUGAGACCCUCUCAGGGUCAAGUAUCGUGGGACUACUUAUGAGUGGACUUUAUUUUCAAAUAAUGAGCAUUGUUUUAUCCCCAACAAAUUAUGAAUAAUGAUUUAUUAGUUUAUUGAAUUUAUUAUAUAACAAAUAGUUGAAACUUGAUAUUUUUGUAAAGUAAUUGCAACAUAUUUGGGUUUUAGCAUAUUGCGAAUAUCUUGAGUUGAUAUAUAUUAUUUUUCAAGAAUUCCUAUCUAUUUCUGGUUAUGUGUGAGGUACGUGGGGUGUUGGUAAUGAGAUUAUGGAAAGAGAAUGGAUUAUAAUUAUGUCAGUUUGAAGUGCUAUAAGUACUAUCCUAUGUACCUCACUAGAAAUGAAAAUUAUAGAUUGGAAAUUGGGAACUAUGGAUAUGUGGAUAUGUCGGCACCCGGGUACCCUUGACGGAAUGUUUUGUAGACUCUUAGUUGGGUUAGACUGCGUGCAUAAGACUUGUCAUAGGCGUACGAGUAUUGAGGAUUCUGCUAUACAUGCUGGUGAACUUAAAGUUUCAAGUUUCAUCACUCUCUAUUGACAAAAUAUUUUGUUGAUUAAUUUUUUUUGUUUCAUUUGCACAUCCCAUACUUAAGUGCUUGAGUGGUCCAAUUUUACGGCUCUUUGCUCUAGAUGCUUCAAUCUUAUUACCUGAUACCUUCCUAGAGCAGUGACUACAUUGGUCACACUUCCCCUUUUUAUUUUAAUUGAAUAGAUUGGCUAAUAGAGUGAGAUAAGAUAAGAGAGGAUGACAAUGACAGUCCAAAGUGGAUCAUAGACACUUCGCUCAUCAAGAGGAUAAGAUAGCACGAAUUAAGUCCCAUCUAAUAGCUUUAAACAAGAAGGGGGACUAUGCACAUAAAUCAGAAAGCACAAAAUGAUUCAAAUUUCACACCAUCAGAUAGGAGAGAGAUAAGUGUUAGACAGCUGCAUAUCAUGUUUUUUUUGUUUUUUUUAUUUUUAUACUUGACUUUUCAACUACAUGUAAGAUGACUAGUCAACAAUUUUGAAAUGUGCUUAAGACAAGGAACAAACAUACUAAUCAAUUGAGCAAAGGUCAAUGGCUGUCUGAGUGUGACAUGUUUCUAAAAGUCUAAGGCCUUGGUAAGUAUAUCUGCAAGCUGUUUCUCAGAGGGAACAAACUCUAAUGUUAAAAUGUCGUCUUCCACAAGAUCUCUAAUAAAAUGAUGUCUUAUGUCAAAGGGUUUGGUUCUUGAGUGAUGGACAUGAAUUUUUGAGAUAUCUAUUUCACUCAAGUUAUCACAAUAGAUGAGAAAGAAUAAUUGUUGAAAAGCAUAGUCAUCCAACAUAUGUUUCAUCCAAAAGAACAUAUGUUGACAAGCACAAUAAUAAAGAGAUAUGGAAAGAGAGAUUCAAACUCAGAGAUUUAUACUGGUUCAGUCCACCUGGCCUACAUCCAGUCCUCAAGCACACCGGGAAAAACUCCUUGCAGAUGGAGUUGAAACCCUUACAUUGUCAGAGCACAUCACUCCUUCACAGCUAGAGCACACCACUCUAAUACAAGAUGGAAGACACCCUUCUCACCUCACAGGGUCAAACUAACCUUUUUUACGAGUUUGAAAGAAAUAACUCUCGGAAUAAAAAUCUCUCCUAAUUUAGAGGGAUAUACAAUUGAAGCUCACAGAAAGAUAACUCUCCUUUAUGAGUAGAUGAUUACAAACGUAAUUUUGGACACUACAACUCUUUUAUGAAUUUGAACAAGGGAUGGCUCAAGAGAAAAUGAUAUUCAGAGUAUGAUGAAUGCUUGUAAGCUUGGAUGAAUAUGUUGAGUUGUUGUUUUCACCACAAAUUUGAAUACAUAUUUAUAAGUAUGGAAAUACAGUUGUUGAGAAGAUGGAGCCGUUAGGAAUAUUGCUAUUGGGAAAUAUAGCCGUUAAAAAUAUAGUUGUUGGGAAGUAUAGCUGUUAGAAAAUAGACCUGUUGGAACAGUGUUCAGCUAACCUUAUUUCCAUUUCCAACAUUUAAGUAAAUGUCUUUGUCCUUUUACUUUCAUUUAUUUUUAUAUUACUCAAUUUACUUAAGUUUACAAUGUAAAUAAGGAAGUACGUCACCCCGCCACAUCUCCCCCUCCCAACCACCCACCCCCUUCAUUUGGAUUCAAAUAAAAAUACUAGAAAAAUCAGAUUCCCACCAAAUCAAAAUAUGAAAAAUCGAUUUUAGUUCAACAUAAACUUCAUAUAAAAAUUUCAUAAAAUCAGGUUUUCUUAUUUGAUAUGUAGGGAAUAAAAGCCGGAAAAAAUUAUCUUCAAAAAAUGAUUAGUUUGAAAAAGCAUUUUUCAUACUUAGCCAAAAUUUUGAUAAAACAAUUUUGCAGGUAUGAUAUGAAUGCAUGAAGGAACCUAAGGUCAGUCUAGGUAAAGAGCCUUAGAUGUUCAAUUCAUAAAGAGUUUUACAAGAAUAACCUAACUCUUCCGUCUUGAAGAAAUAUAUGCUUGAGUAUCGGCUUCUUGCUUUAAUGUCCCAAAAGUCUUCCAAUGUGUACAGUAUUUUUGAUCCAUUCGAGAAUACCUUCUUCUUACAACUUAUCACACUUGAAAUACAUUAGAUAACUAAAGAACAAUUUGUUAUCAUCAAAAUAUGCACAAUAAUAUUAAAGAUCGUACGGCUAACAGAGAUGAUUGAAAAACAUGCAUGCAAUGACCACAUUUAAAAAAUAAUAAUAAUAAUAAAACCUAAUAAAACAAAAGAACACGUACGGUGCAUACGCAUGACAAUGUAUCUAGAGUCCAUGAAGCAUACACAAACAAGAGAAUGGUAUAGAUACAUAAGACAAAGAAACUAGUCACUAACAUGAGGAAAAAUAUGGUCUUCCUUCUCUUGAUCUAAACUUGCUUCACUUUUAAAACUUUAUGAGACAAAGAGAUCACCUUAGGAAAUUUGACAACCUUGUAAACAAGAUCAUUCACUUGAGUUUGAAGUGAGUCACCAUUUACUUUCUUGAAAUGAACAAAAGGCUUUUGCUCAAAAUUCCUAAGCUUAAAACACUGGUCCGAUGUGUCCUAAUGUGCCACAAUGAUGGCAUGUAGGAAUGAACCUUUUUGAUUUUGGGAAACCAAAUUUUGCGAGUGAAGAGUGUUUAUCUCUUGUAAAAACCACAGACUUUACAAUAGCAUACCCCUUAAAAUAUGACACAAGAGUCUUAAACUCACUUUAUUUGGAAACUCGAGACUCAAACCUAAGGAUAUGACACCUAGGUCGAAUGCGUCCUUUCACACCACAAUGGUGGCAGGUAGGCAUGAAUUUGGAUUGUGGAGGAGACAACUUUCCCUUAGAAACAAUAUUCAUAGAAUUGAAACUCAAGUUGAGACCAUGAACAAAUUUUGGAGAUUCUUGAGUUGACACAUCUAUGACAAAGAUUGUCUCAAAUGAUUAAGGUAUAGAAGACUCAUCUAUAUAUCCUAAACCUCUUUUAUCACCAAACAAUUUUCUCAAAUUGAGCAUUUUAUCAAUCUUUCCAGCACUAAUGGUUAAACAUUGAAUUUUUUCUUUUUUCCAGCUCAAGUUCAUGUUCCAAUCUUAUAUUUUCAAAUUGUAAAGUAUCAAAAGAUUCAGAUUGUUUAACCAUGUUGUUUUCAAGUGAUUUUACCAUCUCAAUUAAGUUUUGCAACUCAAUGUCUUUCUCAAAUAACAUGCAUUGCAAAAUAGAAUUUUCAACCACAAAAUUAUCAUGCAUGACUACUUUUUCAUGCUUAACUAAUGACUUGUCAAACUCAAACAAAGUUAGUCUAUGAAGAAACAAGGAUUUGUUAUUUUCAAGCAUAUUCAACUUCUCAAUCAAAUCAGAAUUUUCUUUUUCAAGAGUGCAAACUUUAUGAUACAACUCACACAUGUCAACUUCAUUCUCUUACAAGAUACCACUCAACUUCUUUUUGGCCAUUUUGAGAGUUUCAUUCAGUUCAUCAAGUUCUUUGAUUUUUUUUUUCCAUUAUGUGAUUCUGUUUUUUGACAUUACAGGUUUCAUUGAAAUGCAUAUCAUACUUUGCACAUAGUUCCUUACAUAAUCGAUCAUCCUGCUUAUCAUAUCUAGACUCAGAUUCAUUUCCCAAAUUAGAUUCUCCCACAUUAACUGCAUGAACUCUAGCAAGGCUAGAGUUAUGAAUAUAAACAGCAAGGGCAAAAUGGUUUGCCUUUUUAUGAGAUGAAGUGAUAUUAACAUGUGGUUAUUUGCACAUUCCACAUCAAUGUGACCAGCAACACGUACCUGCAAGCCUAAAAGAUUACUAGUGACAACCUAGACACUCAGAAGAACCCGUCAAUCUAGGCAUCCCUUGUGCUAGCAACAACUAUGGUAAAAGUGUGAAAGCAUCAUAAUCAAGUAAACAACAACUAGCAGAUAGUGAUAACUAGUCAACUGUAAGAACACAAAUUCAGAAAUACAUGAACAUCAUGCGAUGACUAGUUAACUAUCAAGAACACAAACCCAGAAAAUAACAUAUCUGCAAAACAGAAAUUGUUCACCCAGAAACCCACCACUAGGAAAAAUUGAAGGUCACCAACCGACCAAGCAAUCCACUAAGCAAAGAAGAUUCUUAUAAAUAAACACAAGUAAGCUCAAGAAAUCCUAGAUCUAUUUAGGAAGAUGAGUUAUAACUCCUUUGUGCAAUCUUCUUCUCCAAUUUAGGAAAGCUAACAGCUUAGUCCUUCAUGGCAAUGGAAGCUCCUUCUUAAGCCCUUUCAUCCCAUGGCACCAGCUAGCCAGCUCAAACUCGAACAGAAACCAACAAUUUCGAUUCAAGGAGAACAUGGCCAAUUUGUUCAAGAAACCAUACUCUUCAAGAAACCAAUCUUUAAUCUGAACUACAUGUAUAUGAGAAUGUGUUUGUUCUAGCUAGAUGCAGAUUUUAUAUUUCAAAAGUAGUUUUCAAAAAAUCAAUUUAGAAAACUCAUAGAUGAAAACGAUGGUUUUCUCUUCAGGAAGAAGAGCAAGUAAAAGGAUGGAAGAAACCUUUUUGAAAACUCACCUAAAAAAAUCACGGCUGUCAAAUAAGGAAUCGUUUGGCUUUUACCCAAGAAUUCCUAGGUUAGAAUAGUACACAUGGUAGCUGAGAAAAUUCGUAGAAACCGGUGAGCUAGAAAACUUACUGAUGCAAAAGAUGACUAGUCAUACGAAAACAAGAUGAUUAGUCAUAAUCUUAAGAAAUCUAACGAAUGCAAUAUGAUGCAAUGCACAAAAUACCUUUUGCCAAUAAGUGAUAUUCCAUAAGAUAGCAGCCAAACAAGAGCAAUUAGAGAAACUAUUCUUAAACUAAGCAUGAGCUUGGGUGAUUACAAUGUAUGUCCUAUUAUAAUAUUGUCAAGGGGAAGCCAAAAGAAAAACUCAACAUGCAUACACUUACAUAAUUGCUAGCAACAAAAUAGAUGAACACGAUGCUUCAAGAAAAAACUAAAAUAACAAUAAUCUAAUUGACUCAAAUGGUUUCAGACUCAAGUGAUUUUUUUACAAAUAUGAUAUUUAAGAAUAUAUAAAUAUUAGACAAUGCGGAUCAUUGAAAGACAACGUGUGAUGGGCCAUACAGAAUGUCCCUCAAAUAAGUUUAUUAUUUUAGUGAUCCCUCACUAUAGAUAUUUUAUAUAUCGGAUGUGAUUCCCUUAUCUCAGAGUAAAAGCAUAUUUUUUCUUUGCCUGCAGAAUGGAAUAUUAUAUGUUAAUUAAGCAAACAAAAGUUUAGCAUAUGGAAUAAAGGCGUUUUUCUGAUAUUCCAAAGUGUUUUCCAACCCAUCGGUUGCUAUUUCAUUCUUCACAUCAGCAUUCUUGAGAAACUGAGAUAUCCAAAGAAUAAAAAAGUUAACAGGUUGCUUCCCAUGCUAAAACACUCAUCCUCAUCCAAACCUUGAGCGGUGUACACGUAGAUACCAAAAUCAUGCAUCAUGUGCAUGCAUGGAAAUAACCAACUUAGCCCUGUUUUUACCUAUAUAAGUAACAAGAAGCAUUGGAUGGAAGACGUAUAUUGAAGAGAUGGGGAUUGUGCCCUCACAGCCAACUAGUGGACAAACAACUAGUAACAAUGCAUCGGAGAAACCAACUGAAGGAGGGCCUUCAUCUACUGCAGCUCCCUCUGAUAAUCAGAAGGUAGAAGUCAAAAACGCUUCUGAUAAUCAGAAGACAGAAACACAAUCAGUUAAGUAUCAGCUCCCUUUAUCUGAAAUUCAAACACCAUGCUCGGAUGGUUUAAUUUUGUGUGUUAUAGCUACAUAUAUACAUAUAUAUGCUUACUUAUGAUUCUGAUGAAAUGUGAAAAUUUCCAGUUGGUGCCGAAAUUCAGCUCCAAAUUAAAAAAUUUGGGAGUUUAAUUUGAUUUAAAGAAUGGAAACUAUCUAAAGAAGUUAGAGAUCGACCAUCUUGAUUAUGUCAAUUAUAUUUUCUUGACUAUUGUUAGCAUUAUCACAGCCUGUGCAGACGUAUGGUGAUGGAAAGUCCAAAUGUUGUAUGGUGUAUGCAAAGGAUCUCGAUAUCACUUGGUCUGGAGACACUCGUUACUGGCGAUGGGUCAAAGAAACUAGGUACCAAAAACUUCAAUAUAUAACUUACGGUUUCUUUCUCGGUUUCUCCAGUCGUAUUGACCAUUUGAAACAGAUAGGAAUAACACAUACACAAAAUUAAUAUAUAUAUAUAUAUAUAUAUAUAUAUAUAUACUCUCAGUAAUCUCAGUCCUAACUUCGAUUUCAUUGCAGUGGUGGCAACUUCGAAGCUGCUGAACUGUUAAAUGUGUGUUGGCUAGAAGUGCGUGGAAAACUUUCGACCACAGACCUCUCACCAGGAACUCUGUAUGAAGUUGUAUUUGUGGUCAAGAUGAAAACUAAAGCUUAUGGAUGGGAUGCCCCAGUGAAUUUGAAAUUCACUCCCCCAGAUGGUGCAGUUUCAAGGGAGACGACAAUUAAAUUGACGGAUUUGA